rnacentral:lncRNA from 1 species
CCUGAAGUUAACAAAAUACUCAUGCAUGAAGAAAGAUCAUCUAUAUAUACUACAAAACAAUUAUACAAAACCAAGAUAUACCAUUAAAAUUCUCUAUACUACAAGUUUAAAUACAAAACAAAAUCAAAAGUAAAGAAAAAAGAAGAAGAAGGAGGUAGAUAAACCAGUUUAAGAUAACUCUCAAAACAAAGAAAAAAAAAACUCAAAUAUUAAUUAAAAGUUUAAUACAAGAAGGUAAUGCAUGAACUUAGCUAGUUUGGAUCAACAACAAAGUUUAUCAGCUAGAGCAUCCAUUUCAUCAAUGUAGAAAACUUGGUUGUGGAUGGUUGGCCUCUUCAUCACUUCAUUGAUGUCAAAGUGGAGGAUGUUCCCUUGUCCAAGAUGAAGAUAAAUCUUUCUUCGUCUAACAUUCACAAUAGCUCCUGCUAUGGCUAAGAAUGGUCUUCCAAGGAUCAAAGGGUCUUGGGCUUCCUCCCCCAUCUCCAACACAACAAAAUCAGUAGGGAUCUCAAAGUUACCAACCAUCAAGGGAAGGUCUUCUAAGAUACCAACAGGAAUCUUCACUGGUCUAUCAGCCAACACCAAAGAGAGUUUACACUUCUUGUAUUGAGUAAAUCCAAGCUUCUUUGCAAUAGACAAAGGCAUCAAGCUGAAACUAGCUCCAAGAUCGCACAUGCACCGCUCAAACACCAUGGGUCCUAGAGCACAAGGUAAGGUGAAACAUCCUGGAUCCACUAGCUUCCUUGGAAUAAUUAAAAGUUUAAUACAAGAAGGUAAUGCAUGAACUUAGCUAGUUUGGAUCAACAACAUCUACGGUCGCAGCACAAGAGAGUAACCUUCGAAAAAACCGGAACAUAACAGAACAAGCUUGUUCUCUCUUCUUCUGCUUCUUUCUAACUCUCCUCUUCUCACGACGGCGACUCGGUUUUGACUUCUCAACGAUGACAUCACUUUCCUCCUUAUUCCCCUUCCUGAACGAGGCCGUUUCCUUAAACCUCCCUAGACACGAGGUUUGCGUCGCUGAGGGCAGUACCUUCGCCGAUUUGCUCUUGUCAUCGUCAUCUUCCCGAGAGAACGUGUAGCUUCGGAGAUACAUCUGUCGGCAUGAGAUACUAUCCACCACACGCGCCGUGGGUACGCCGCCUCCACGUCGGACGGAGCGGACGAACUCUGCGUCCUAAUAGCUGUCUUUUGAAUCUUCCAGAGAAUGGCAGCUUUGGCUCAUAGGGAGGAAGAACAAAAUAGGAUUCCUUUGUUGGAGUAGCAGUUUCACCAUGUUUCACUGUCCUCUUCUCUUCUCCAACCUUUCCUUUAACCUUAGCUUCAACAAUCUUUUCUAGAAUCUAUUCAUCAACCUUCUCAUCUACAAUCACCACUUCAUCAUCAAUGUUGAUAGCCACCUCCCCACCUUGCUUUUCACCAUCCUUGGUGAGAACUCUUGGAGGUAACUCUCUACCACUCCGUAGGGUGAUUGCUUUCAUUGUUUCCUUGGGAUUUUGCUCUGGCUUUCCAGGUAAUGCCCCUUUUUGGCGACUUGGCUGAGAGUUCAUUGAAGCAAACUGGUUCUCCAAAUGUCGGAUCUUGUUGUUGAGUUUAUUGUAGCUUCCAUCAAUCUUGGAGUGAAUGUUCUUGAAUUCAUAACCCAUUGUCUUCUCAUUCUUUGCCUGAAAAUCCAAAAGUAUCUAGUUUUUGUUGUUGUUGUUGUGUUUUUGUGAUUAUACCCCUUUCCUCCGGUGAUUCUGCAGUGUGUAUGUGUAGUAUAUAUGAGUGUUUUAAAAAAAAAGGUUUAGAGACGUGGAGGAAUAAGUGAAGCUUGAAUUUAAAGAAAAGAUAAGUGGAAAUGAAAGGAGAUAUGUUGAAAGAGCAUGAUUAAGGGAGGCAGGGGAUAUUAUUUUACUUUCAUAGAAGAGAAGGAGAAAAAUAAUACAUAUGACAACUAGUGGUGGUGGGGGUGGUAAUGACUGCUUUUUGUGUUGUAUUGUUUUAAAAUCAAAGCAAUAUUAGUAGUAAUUAAUGAGAAUGGGUUGUUAUGAUUUGGUGUGAUUAAAAUGUACAGUUGCUGUUUUUUUCUUGUUGAAAUUGAUAAGUAAUUAGUAACUAGAUUUUAAUCCGCACGUCCGUGCGGAUAUUUUUUCAUUUUAAUGUUAUAUAUUGUGUACCUUUAUAAUAUUAUUGUUUAUAUUUUUUAUUCAGCAAUAUUAGUAUAUAGUGAUUUGUUUAGUACAUUUUACUUUGUUAUUUAUUUUUAUUACUUACUAAUAUAUUUUCGAGUUAGCUACAAUAAAAUAACAACCUGAAAUAAUCAGAUGGAGAACCUCCUUUAGGAUAUAUUGUUUCUUUAAUUUAUACAUUUUGCAUAUAAUACAUUUUUAAAAUUUUCUCUUCCUCAGUUCUUCCCAAAAAGAAACCAUUGCUUGCAGUAUCAAGCAUGUUUAUGCACUGUGGUAGAGCUCCUCUGUAGAAGGUGCUAAGUAAGUAUAGAAACGAAAUAUGUUUAAAAUUUUUUAUACUUACAUGUUGUGUUUAAAAAAUAUACUUUUACAUACAUCAUUUAAGUAUUUUACGAGAUUUAUAAAUAAAAGCAUUGUUUUGUUUAAAUAAUAUAGCUCUACUAUUUUAGUAAAUUUUGUACAUAGUAGAAUCAUCAUAUUAUUUUAGUAAAUUGUAUUUAUAUAGGAUAUUUUUUGGAUGUUAUGAUAUUAUUAUUAUUUAAUUAAGAUUUCAAAAUAUUAGAUUGCAUUAAUGUUAUGUGGUGCAUUUCAAAGAGUUAUUCUUUAUUAUUAUCUAUGAUUUUAUCUCUUGUAAAAUUUGAAAUAUUAUCAUUUUGAUUUUGAAUAUUUAUUUAUCUUCUCCCACUGGUGUGCCUUGUCACCCAAAGAGAAAGGGAACAACUUUAACUUGAAAGCAUCUUCAGAAACACCAUUUGUCUUGGACAAGCCACAGUAUUUCAUAUUUGUUAAAAAAACUUUGGAAAAUUACACAACUAUUUUGAGUUUGGAAGACUAUAUGAAUUUUGAUUUUUUUUGCUAUUACAUUAAUACAUUAUUUUAUAAAAAAUUUGAAUUUUUCGUUAUAUUUUUAAAAUUUUUCUCAACAUAUUUUUUUAUAAUUAAAAUUUGAUUUAUGAUUAAUAUUUUAAAUGAAUUACUAAAAUUUCAUAGUUUUCUAAUAGGCAAUCAUUAAUUUUAAGUCCAUUAGCCAUCUUAACACCUUUAACAUCAAAUCUCUUUGGUAAAGAAUGUUAAAAGCAUAGUAGAGUUGGUUCAGGCAUUUCAUCGAACACCUAUCGGGUGUGAAAUGCCUAAGGCUCAACUUUAGAGAGUCCAACUCUAAAACUGCAUUGAAAACACUUUACUAGCAAGGAACAAGAUGGAUCUGUAUGGUCGAAGGUAAUCAGCUCUUGGAUCAAUACCUCCUUGGGCAUCACCAUCUUGAGGCAGAUUCUCCAUAUCAAACCCUAACCUUUGCAAGUGAGCCUGUUGCUCUACUUCUCUUCUCUGUCUUGCAAGCUCAUUCACUAAGAUAACUCAAGCAUCAAAUCUCUUUGGUUGAAUAUUAUCUAAGCAAUCAUUAAUUUCAAGUCCAUUAGCCAUCUUAACACCUUUAACAUCAAAUCUCUUUGGUAAAGAGUGUUAAAAGCAUAGUAGAGUUGGUUCAGGCAUUUCAUCGAACACCUAUCGGGUGUGAAAUGCCUAAGGCUCAACUUUAGAGAGUCCAACUCUAAAACUGCAUUAAAAACACUUUACUAGCAAGGAACAAGAUGGAUCUGUGCUACAACACCUUAGAUCUAGCCUAAUCACCCUUAGUCUCCCUAGCCCAUGAAUCCAAAUAUAAUUACUCACUAAUCUUCAUGAUAAACCCCGGAAUCAAUGAUGAUUUGGUGUUAAUCAUGAUUAGUGAUCAAAUUAACAAAGCAAUCACAAAGGAUAAUGAUCAAGAUUAGAUCUUUUUACCUAAAGGUUCCUUUUUUGAUUAGAUAGAAAACAAGAUGAUCCUAACUUUAGGAUUACAAGAGUAUUUAUAUGUCUUUGGUAAACCUAAUGGUUUCCAUUAAAAAGUCUUAAAAGCCCUUAAAAACAUUAAAAUUCGACUAAGGUAAAGUCUCGACUCGGGUCGAAACAACUGGGAACACCCCGCGUCGCACCACCCGCGUCGGAUAGUCGUCGAGCUUCUUUCUUCAUGCGAGCGGGUAGGCGUCUCCGUGUGGCCUCACCCCACGUCGGACCGUCGUCUUCUCUUCUUCCUACGCGGGUAUUCGACCCCGCGUCACUCAACCCGCGUGAGAUCGUCUAUGCUUCGUUUCUCUCUGUGCGUGCGGGUAACGGUGUCCGCGUGAUCCAAGCCGCGUUGGAGCUCUCCAUUGGCUCCUCUCGAUGCCUCGACGCGGGUAAGAGUACCCGCGUUGGUUCAACCCGAGUUGUGCUCGCUUAAACUCGAACUAACUUCAUUUUCCAUCUCUUCUUGAGCCAUAAUGCUUCUAGACACUUCCAAUUACUCCAUAGGACACUCCACUACCUGAUUAGGACAUAUGAAUGCAAUAUGGAUUCUAAAGAUGCUAAGUUCCUAAUCUAUAUGAUCAUUAUAUGCAAAAUGGAGACUUAAAACAAUGCAAAUAUGCAAGAUAUCAAGGCUCUUAUUUAGGCUCAGGUGCGAUUGUGUCCUUUAUGACAUCAUUAGCUUUCUUGAUCGAGCCUGUCCAUGCAUAUACGGUGGGAGAACUCAUAGGCUAAGGGAAUUGACCUUGGGUGAUCAAGUUUUAAUCUAAAGAUGGUAUCUUUCAAUCAAUCUAUUAACUUUAGACCUAGGCACAAUCCUAAACAAACUCUAUCUCUAGAUGAAUGCUUAUUCACUAAGAUAACUCAAGCAUCAAAUCUCUUUGGUUGAAUAUAUAUAUAGCCCCAAUAGUUCUUCCACGGUUUGCCUUUACCUCUUGUAUAUAGAUGUACGCAAUGAAGGCACCUUUGUGCUCUACACUGAAAAUAGUAAGGUAAAGAAAGAUCUUCACUUUAGUUUUGUUUAAGAAAGUGUUUUGUGGACUAUAACAGACGUUAGCAUUUACUUGACAGAAAACAAUGGAAGCGGCAGUGGUAGUGAGCACAGGAGGCGACUGCGGUAACUAGCAAAAAUUGCUUCUCAACACUUGAUCGCAGAGGUAGCAAUCUUAGGAAUUGUUUUGCAACCUCAAAAACAUGCUUGUGAUUGUGUUCUUGUGUGUAACAUAACAAUGGUGUAAAUGUAUAUAGAUGUAAGGGCCGGACCUUGAAGACUGUCGUGAAAAACAGCCUCUUGGUCAUGGGUUCUAUGCAGACUUCACUAUGGCAACAAGGAUAACAAUGCAAGACUUAAUCACCGAGUGUGUUGUAUUUUGCUUUGAGUUCAUGUGUUUCAUCAAUUGAUUUUGUAUGUUUUGAAUCUUUAAUGGAAAAGCAUAUUGUAAUUUAUGAUUUAUUUAUGUUUUAUUAGAGAAAAUUAUAUUUUUUAAUCAUAUUGCAAUAUAUAUUAUAAAGAUCUUAUCAUUUCUAUUUAUAAAUUUAUAUAUAAUUUUAACAAAGUGACUAGCUAGACUUAUGUUUAACCCCUAACCCCUAGAUAUAUUUUUAACCCCUAGACCAUAAAUAUAAUCAUAAAGUCUAAAUUUUGAACUUUAAAAAAAAAAAAACUUUUAAUAUUUAUAUGAAAAGACAGUUCGAUAUAAAUAUAAUAAUGCAACCUGAAUCCAUCUAAUACCAUAAAUCUAAUUCCCUAAACCCUAAACUUCAAGCUUGAAUGAUAUUCUAAAUACUAGAUAACGUCUUUUUCAGAUUUUAAACCCAACAUUUAAACUUAAACUUUAAAUCUAAUUUUUAAAACUCUCAAAUCUUAAAUGUAAACCUUAAAUUCUCCAUCAAAUUCUAUGCCCAAAAUCCUAACUUCAAACAUAAACCGUUCAUCCACUAAAUAUAUACUUCCAAUCUAAAUUUUUAAAAUUUAACAAACUUCAAAUCUAAAUCUUAAUCACAAACCUUUACAUACAACUCUAAACCUUAUACUUUCAUAACUCUAAACCUAAAAGUUAAAAUGACCCCCAUGUACCAUGAAAGAGAGUGUAAUAAACAUCAAUACAAAUGUAGAAUGUGUUUAGAAAUUUAAAAACAUCACUAAAGAUCAUAGGCUUCAGUAUAUAAAGAAUUUACCAAAAAACUCAAAAUUUUCGUAAGGGUUAACACAUAGAUUUUGAGAAAAAUUCAUAAAUAUGACAAUACUGUUUUAAUACAUAAGAUGAAUGUCAAAGGUGUUUGAAACGUUUGUUGUCUCAGUUUCUCUAGAGAAUAGCGAUUUUAUAGUGGUUCGUUCACCAAUUUAGGGAGUAUUAUGAACUUUUACUAAAUUAAUUGAUAAAAAAUUAAAACGCUGCCCGUGUACUAUGAAAGAGAGUUUAAUCUAUAUUUAGUAAAAACAACAGUGCUAUAUCAUAAACAUUGAAGAUACUCGUACUUAAAAAAUAAAUUGUAAAACUAAAGUUAUUUUUCUUAAUCCUAAACUAUUAAUUUAAUCUAAAAUGUUAAUCUUGUAAAUCUUAAACUUCACUUUAGAAUAAAUAAUAAUCUACUAAAAUAUAUAUAUAGUAGUUUAGGGGUUUAUAUAGUACACUUCAAACCCUUAACAUUACACUUCAAACCGUAAACUCUACAUCCAAAUCUUAAUACAAACUAUCAAAUUAUUAUUUUCAAAAAACAAUCUCAAAUCUUAUCAUAACUCCAAGCCCCAUAUAUAUAUUCAGAUUAGUUAACUAAACUUCAAAUUUAAUAUUCUCUUCUUAAAUCUUAAAUCUUAAAACUAGCUCCACACUAAAAUUUAUUCCCAAUUUAAAAAUUGUAAAAUUAAAUCUUAAAUUAUAAACUUCAAAAUAUAAUUUUUGAAUAAAACAUUACUUUAAACAAAUAUAAGCACAAAAAAAAUCAUCAAAUAAUGAAAUACAAGACACAAGAUCAUGGUUGCAUCAUGCACUAAUAUAUGAUGAAUGUCAAAGAGGUUUGAAGCAUUUGUUGACUCCGUUUCUUUAGAAAAUAGCGAUUUUAUACUGGUUCAUCCACCAAUUUAGGGAGUUUUAUGAAGUUAUUCUAAAUCACCUUCUCAACCGUUGGAUUAUAUUAAAUCAAAGGUCAAGAUUCAUUUUUUUCUUUUUUCAUUUUCCCUCACUGGCUCCCUCUCUCUGCCGACAGAUCCAUUCUUUUUUUUUAGUCUUUUCAUCUUCUUUGCUCUCAUCUCUCCCAUUCCAUGUACCAUAAAAAAGAGUUUAAUAAACAUUAAUAAAAACGUAGAAUGUAUUUAGAAAUUUUAAAACAACAAUAAAGAUCAUAGACUUCGGUAUAUAGAACAUUUACCAAAAAACUCAAUAUUUUCGUUGGGGUUAACGCAUAGAUUUUGAGAAAAAUUCAAAUCCUCAAUUUCGUGUCUACGGCCUUGUUCUCUUCCUCAAGUUUGGAUGCCGUCCCAUUUUGGUCCUCUCUUCCCCAGAAUCCAUCGUUUACGGCCUCACUGGAGAGAGAGGAGACCGAGAGAAUAAAGAAUAGAUAGAGUUCGGUCGGGGGUGCUCUUCAUCUUGUCUCUGAUUUUUGUUUGGUCGUUUCAUAUUCUGCUGAAAUUUGAUCGAUCUGUUGUUUGUGGUGUUGAGAUCUGUUAAAAUAGAAUUCUUUGAUCACAAUUCUGAGUUUAGAGUUUUCAUAGUCUUGCAAAGAAAUCAGAUCUGUGUUUGCUUGUGUAGAAUCUGUGCUAUCUGUUUCUGUUUUGGUUUGAGAAGAUUGAUUAAUUUGUUUAUGUUUAUGAUUGAUCUUAUUUCAAUUGAUACUGUUAAGUUUAAGACAAUUUCGAAAUUAAUCUAAGCUGUUUAGGAUCUGAGUUUCAAUUUGAUCAGUUUCUGAUAGUGUAAAAGUUUGAAGUUUAAGUUUUAGAUUUCGAAAUUAAUUUGAUUUUUGAUUUGUUUGUUCUUGUUACAGGAAGAAGACGGAUAUGAAGAAGCUUUGCUGGUGGAGAUGGAUCCGAGCAAGAAGAAGAAAGAGAGAAAGAGGGAGAAGACAAAGACGUAAGGAAGAUGGAAGAGGAAGGUGACGAAAGAGGAAGGCAGCGGCGUAGAUUAGGUUUAGUUUUGGUUGGUUUAUUAGGUUUGGUUUAGAUAGGGUUAAUUUAAUAAAUCGGUUUGUGUGUAAACCAAUGUUAAGAAAUAAACCGAUAUUAAUUGAAAACCAGUUAUUUGUAUACUGAUUUUAAUUAAUAAAUAAAAUUUAAUUUUUAAUUAUGAAUUAAUUUUUGAUUUAAUUUUGAAUUAUUUAAUUAUGAAUAAUGUUUUGGUUAAAUAUGUUUAGGUGUAGUUUUUAAUAUAGUUUGGUAAUUAUUUUUAAUAAAUUUUCGGACAAUUAAAAAUAAAUUAAUAACACGAAACAUUUGUUCUCGUUGUUUAUUUAAACUAUAGCAUUCGAAAGAUCCGCUAUCAAAAGGGUCAGAGCUACGAUAACGGGCGCUGUCAGAGCGUUUUAGGGAACACUAUUAAAACGAAGUAAUAGCGUUUAAGGCCCGUUAUUAAUACCCACAUUUCCUGUAGUGUCCCCCCCCCCCUUUUAGCCAUCCUCUCAGUUUGUUCCUCUUCAUCACCAGAUGACUGCUCAAUGUCUAUAUAUCACAUCCUUGUCUGGAAUCUCAUCCUCGUAGUUCUCAUUUCUAAACAUGCUAAGAUCCUCUUCAAUUUUUUUGUCAAUAUCAUCUUCAUUAUCAAAUUCAUUAGUGUCUUGGUACUCAUCUUCACUCUUUUCUACUUCCUGAUCACCAUUAUAGGUAUCAUCUUGUUGCUCAACAUCAAUCUCGUCAUCAUCAAGAGCCUGUUGCUCAACUAUCUCAUCACCAUAAACAGCAUGUUGCUCAGCCUAUGUGUCAAUCUCAUCAGUACUCUCUCAUUAUUAUCGACCUCUAUCACAGUAACAACUUUAGACUAUGUGAAGACAUCAAGCUCCCUAUACGAACGACCAUUGGCAUUCAUCUUCCUUUUGUUUUCCUCUCUAUUUUCAACCAAAUCCUUCUUCUCUAAGAUAUCCUCAUAUGUUAACAUGUACCAAAUUUUUUCCACACUAAAUUUCUAAACCAUCUUCUUCAUAAGUUCUUCAAUACUGCAUCACCAUCGACUUCAAGCUGCUCAAGAAAACCAUUGACAUAAUUUAACUUCCCAUCUUCUUCAUUUUUGAACAUACCCGGAUGAAAACAGUUGAUUUUCACUAAGAUAAGAUCACUGUUACCAAUAAAAUCACAAAAAUCGGUAAAAAAGACAUCGUCAAAUCUCCGACAACGUUUCGCUUAAGACAUCGUGAAAGACAUUGUUACCUCAUCGUGAAUCCAUGUAUGACUGACCAUCUUCCUUUGAUUGAACCCUAGAAUCGACUCCAUCUCUCUGUGUUACGAAAAAAUAGCAAAUAAACUAGGUUAAGACCUGCGCCUUGCGCGGGAUAAAAAUUAUAUAUAAAAAUAAUUAUAUAUAUAUUAUAUGUUUUUACAUGAAAUAAUAAAUAUAUAUUGAAUAAUUAAAAGUCAUUAACUAACAUAUAUAAUUAAAUUGGUGCGAACAUAUAAUUAAAUAAAUUUUAUUAAUCCAAACAAUAUUUUUUUUCUAUUUGAUAGGAUAUGUAAUUAAAUUUUAAAUGAUAUUAAUAUGCAUAUUAUAUUUUUAAUAUUAAUGUCUAUUAAAUGAUGAUUUCUACUCAUAUGAUUUUUUUUAUCAUUUGUAUCUUUUAUAUUAAAAACUUUAAAUUACUGAUAACAAAAUUUUCAUUGUGGGAUUAAUACUUUUAGUAAUUUAUAAUUUUUUUUUAAAUUAAGUUGUCAAUGUUCAUUCAAAGCUUUUAUAAAAAAAAUUGUUCAAAUUAAAUUCGAAACUAAAAUAUUUAUGUAUUUGAUAUGGUUUGAAACAAUAUAUAUGUAUAUCAAUCUUAAUAAUUAAUUAAAUUUGACUUUUUACUUAUAUGAUUUUGUAAUCAUUUGUAUUUUGUUAUAACAAAAAGUUUAAAUCAUGGAUCACAAAAUUUGAAUGUGAGACUUUUAAAGUUUUAGUAAUUUAUAGUCAUUUUUAAAAAUUUGAAAUAUAACAUGUACAGAAAAAUCUAAUUUUUUAUUAUAUGGUUAUUGUAGUUGUUUAAUUUAGUUUAAUAAUUUAAAAUUAAACAAAUAUGAUAGAAGAUACACUAAUUUUUAUCAAAUCUUUAUUAUUCAAAAUCAUUAAUUGCCAUAUAUACUUUAGCCGCAUUAGGCAAUUCUGUAAUUUUUAUUUAAGUAAAUUAUAAAGAACAUUAAUAAUGAAUUUAUGAUUAGUUUAAUAAAAUGCUUAUUAUAUAAUUAGAUGGACCAACAUAUUUCUUUAAUGAUUCUAAGAAUAAUUCUAAUGAUGACACGUGGCUACAAAUAGAAGUUGUAAUAUUUUUCACAUAAUAUAUAGGGGAUAUAGGGGAUUACAGUGUCUAUUAUAUACACCGUCAACGGUCAACAUUUCCUAAUUUUCGGUGUCCACAACCGAAUGAAUGGAUACCCAUUUUUGGCAGAUAUUAAUUUAAUAUGUUUAUUGAUAGCAAAAAUACUGCAAAGAGAUUUCCGGAAAUCAAAAUUUUUAAACAUUUACUCUUAAUCAAAAAGAAAUUAUUGACUAAUCGGGUUUAUGGUAGGCAUGGGUAUUCGGGGUCCCAAUCGGGUUUCGGUUUUAUCCAUUCGGGUUUAUCAAAAUCAAUCCCAUUCGAGUUUAUCAAAAUCAAUCCCAUCACUCUGCAAACCAAACUCGUAACUCUGCAUCCAUGUGAACGACGAAAGACGAUUGUUUUCUGGCACUGCGUGCUAGACUAUCCGCCCGUAAAUUCUUCGUCCGAGGUACAUGAAUAAUCUCUGAACUGAGGAAACUUAUUUUCAAAGUCUUUAUGUCUUCCAAAUAACUUUCAAACACCGGCCAUUCUUCUGGUUCUGAAACCAUCUUCACCAAUUGAAAACAAUUCGUAGCAAACGUGACCUGAAACUGAUGUAAGUUCCUCAUACACUCCAUUGCCCAUAUCAGCGCUUCCAUCUCCGGAUGUAUAGGUGAUAGACUUGCCCGAAUGUUUCUUGCCCUCAUCAAUCCAUCAAAACCCUCGAGAGUCCUAUACCAACCUUGCCCUGGAUAUGGAUCCUUAUCUGUCCACGAACCAUCGAUAAAACACCAGCGUCCUGUGAUUAUUGGAAGGUGCCUAACCUCCACUUACUGUGAUGCUUGCUGCAUGUUCAGCAUAUGUGCUUCAGCCCAAAGUGUUGAUUCUGUUUCCGCUAGAUUGAGCGUGUCUCUGGGAUCAAUGUCCAAAUUACUAAAAACUUUGUUCUUCCUUCAUUUCCAAAUGUACCAUAAUAUCCACGCAAAUUGCCUUAUGGUAGGCAUGGGUAUUCGGGGUCCCAAUCGGGUUUCGGUUUUAUCCAUUCGGGUUUAUCAAAAUCAAUCCAAUUCGGGUUAUAUAAAAGUUCGGUUCGGGACCGGUUCGGGUUCUAUCGGGUUCGGGUCGGGGUUAGUAAAUCUUCAAAGAACCGGUAUAACUCAUUGUUCUUUCGGGUUCGGGUCCAAAUCGGUUCUUUGGUUUAAAAAUACCUGAUUUGUACCUAUUUUGUAACUAAAACAUAAAUGAAAUCGGUUCUUCGGAUUUAAAAUACAUGAUUUGUACAUAUUUUUAUAGCCAAAACAUAAGUAAAAUCGAUUCAAAAAAAAAAAACAUCAAACGUGAUCAUUCAAAAUCAAGCGAAAGAUAAACAUAGUUAGUGAUAGAAAGAAAACCAGAUAAAUGAAAUCAUAAAACAAAAAAUAAGUUCUCAUGAAAUGAGAAACAUUAUUCAAUAAAAACAAAACCAAAAUCUAAAAACUUCAGGCAUCAACCGCCACAUUCCACUAAACAGACAUAACAUGAUUGGGCAAAGCCGUCACCACCGAUUUAAUAAUUACCUCUUUUCCUCCUUUAGUAAAAAAUCGGAAUGUCCAUCCAUUAACCCUAUUAUUCAAACGUUCCUGAACAAAACCAAAAACCUGUACCUUAGACCCUCCAAGACUUUCUGGCAACCCCAAAUAGGAUCCCAUGCCUCCUAUGUUUUGGAUUCCCAGAAUAUCUCUCAACUCUUGACGAAUUGAUUCUUCAAUCUUAUGCCCAAAUUGAAUUGAGGACUUCUGGAAAUUAAUUUGUUGCCCUGAGACAGCCUCAUAUUCCUGUAAAAUCCUAAGAAUAGUUUGACACUCCUCCUUGUUUGCCUUACAAAAGAAUAGACUAUCAUCUGCAAAUAGCAAAUGAGAGAUUGCUGGACACGCUCGCGCCACCUUUAAACCAGUAAGUUGUUUCUCUCUCUCUGCCCUCUUAAUAUUCGCUAUUAAUGCCUCAGUGCACAUAAUGAAUAAAUACGGAGACAGAGGAUCCCCCUGCCGUAGACCUCGUUGAGGAAUAAUAAGUCCCUGUGGCUGCCCAUUGAUAAGUACCCUAUAUUGGACCGAAGAGAUACAUUCCAGCAUCAAAUUAACCCAUCGAGGAUCAAAUCCCAUUCUGUGUAAAAGUGCCACAAUGAAUUUCCACUCAAUCCUAUCAUAUGCCUUACUCAUAUCCGUUUUGAUUGCCAUAAAUUUGUUCUGACAUGACUUAUUUGUCCUCAGUCCAUGAAACAUUUCCUGCGCGAUAAGUAUAUUAUCCGAUAUUAACCUACCCGCCACAAAUGCCGAUUGUGUCUCCGAAAUCAGUCUUGGUAGGCAAAUUUUCAAUCGUUGACAUAAAACCUUCGAGAUAAUCUUAUAACCAACAUUACAAAGGCUUAUCGGCCGUAAUUCCGUCAUCCUUGUGGGUCUCUCUACUUUCGGAAUCAUACAAAUAUUAGUCAUAUUUAAACGUUGAUCCAUAUUUCCUGUGAGAAGAAAAUUGUUCACCAGCUCAACCACAUCCCUCUUAAUUAUAUGCCAUGAGUGCUGAAAAAAAAGAGCUGUCAUCCCGUCCGGUCCUGGCGCUUUCUCUGGAUGCAUCAUAAAUAAAGCUUGUCGGACCUCUUCCUCCGUUGCCAUUCGCAGCAAAUUUUGAUUCAUUCGGGGAGAAAUAGAUGGUACUAUCUCCUCCAAAAAACUAUCAAAUUCCGUUGGAUCCGUGGUCGUAAACAGACUCUCAAAGUAAUCAACCGCCACCUUCUCAACCCCUUUCUCAUCUGUUAUCCAGUUACCUGUUUCAUCAUGAAGACCCACUAUUUUGUUACGAACCCUACGCUGCUUCGUCAAAGCAUGAUAAAAUUUAGUAUUUAGAUCUCCAGAUGAGUACCACAUAUUCCUGCUUUUCUGGUGCCAAUAUUCCUCCUCAUCCUUAUAAGCCUCCUGCAAUUUCCUAGAAACCUCAAUAAUCUCCUCUUGAGACCGAUUAUUAUCCAUUUGCACGUCUUCAAGUGCCUGUUGAAGCUUCUGUAUUUUAUCUUUUCCAUAUGGUUGAUUAUCUUUACGCCAAGUAGAUAUUUCAUGGCGACAAUUAGUAAUUUUGGUAACAAGAUCUCCUAGUUGUCCUUCCUGACUCCCCGUCCAGCCUGUUACAAUCGACUCCAUAAGACCCUCUUGGCCAAUCCAUCUUUUGUCAAAUCUAAAUUGCCCCCUUCUUUUCUUUAUAAAUUUAUCCUCUAAGAAAGCCAACACUGGGCGAUGGUCAGAUCCCACCAUCUUUAGAUACUCUGUAUAAGAACAUGGGAAAAGCGUAUGCCAUUCCUCAUUUGCCAAAGCUCGAUCCAAACGACAUCUGAUCGUCACUGCUCCUUUCCCUUUGCCCCUUCUUCCUUGCCAAGACAUUGUAUUUCCUCGAGCCGGAAAUUCUAGUAAACCACUAUUCCUUAUCAUAUUAUUGAACGGGAUAAAUGAAGUAGCACAACGAAGAGAACCCCCAUCCUUUUCAUGAUUCCCAGUAAUUUCAUUUAGAUCCCCAAUAAUAAACCAAGGUUCUGAUCUUGCCAAACCAAAUCGGGUUAGUCUCUCCCAUACUUGUUCUCUUAGUUUUGGCACCGGAUCCCCAUAAACAAAAGUAAGAAAGACUUGUUUUCCUUUAACCACCGCCUCAAUAUCUAUCAUUCUAUUGCUAGAAUAUAAAAUCUUCACCUGAUACUCAUUAUAAUAAAAAAGAGCUAAACCACCGCUCCUCCCAUUAGGAUCCACAGUAAUCACACUAUCAUAUCCAAAGUGUGAUUGAAACCCUUGUACAAACUCGAACUCCUGUUUCGUUUCAGAUAAAAAUAAAAAAUCCGGUUUGUGUUUAUGCCAUGUCUCCCGAAGAUAACUUAUGGUCCAAUGACUCCCAAGUCCUCUACAAUUCCAGCUUAAAAUUUUCAUAUAUAUAAUAAUAUCUUGUAUUGCUCUCUCGAGCCCAAAAUUUGGGUUUAAAGAUACCCAUCCAUUUUAUAAUCCCAAUAAAACAGUACCAAGCACCCAUCCCUACCGACGCCCAAACAAACCAUCUGGACCCCUUAUGCUGAUACUUGCAUUCCACGCUACAUCCGUACAGUCGCUCAAAUACAAUACUUGACAACUUAAUCCUCAAGCUCAGAAAUAAGACAUUCAUAAUUAUUCCUGCUAAUUGAUAUAUUGAGGUGAUAUAUAUUAAAAACAUACAUUUAAUUAUUUCGUGUAAAGAAAUAAUAAAACCUCGCAUCCUCACAUUCCAAAUCGCCUUCAGACGAAUAAAAUUUGAAACCACUCCACUUUCAAGUUUCCAAUUGUUCCACGUAGACCAAAUUACAUGUACCAAAGAAAUAGUAACAUGCAUAAUACGUACAUAAUCAAAUGCAUUAUAGUGAUUUCCUAAAUGUACGUGGCCUUUGAUUUCAACUACCAAAUAAACUAAUACCCCACAGAUAACUCCGCACCACCGAGGACGUAAAGCGUUUUCAACACUCCUGAUUACAUCUUGAACCCACAAGCUUUGUAUACUCACUAGCUCCCACCAAAAGAAAAUCAUGUUUACUAAACCCUGCCUAUGUAAACAUAUAAAUAAACCUAACCACCGAUUCAAGAUUAGACCGUUAAUCCACCAUCCUCCGUUAAUCCACCAACCUCUGUUCCCAUAAAAUAAUCUACAAACAUAUAUAUCAAAGUUCCUGUCUUCAAAAGACUUUAGUACAAUAAGAAGGGAAUGAGCAAAAUAAAACUCAUGAUAUCCACAAUUCCAAAUCCUCCUCCACAAAACCCUUUUGCCAGAAAUCAUCAACACGUAUUUUUGAAUAGAAUACCAGGAACUCAAUAAACCACUCUUAUUCCAAUACUCAAUAAGAACCAAGAGAAACAGAGCAAUGAAUACUACCCCCAAACCCAUGAAACCAAAUAAAACUUCAAAGAAAAUUAACUUUAAUGAUAAAAUGAAAGCUUCACCCCCAUAAACCCAAUCCUUUAUUCGUACUCUCAUUGUAAAUGAGAUUUGAUCCAUAAACCUUAGAACUUUAAGUUAACCGGCUUCGGGAUUGAAGGUCCCUUGCUCUCCGGUGGUUUGGUAUUGUCUCCAUGACGAGUCCCGACCUUAGCUGCUGCUGCUGCAGUUUUCUUCCUUGGUGAAAGAAGCGCAGACGCCAUUCUCAUUUUAGUACUGCCUGCAGUGCUGUUAUUAGGUUUAAAUAACCUCUUACGGUGACCCUGUCUCGUCGCCACCUCCCCUGUCCCCAGCUCCUUAUUGAUGUGCGCAUCACCAGCCACCGGUUCUUCGGCAUUCUGAAGAAGAACUUUCUCUAUCUGAGCCUCAGAAUCUUGCUCAAACUCCUCUUCUGAGAGAGUUUGAAACUCUUCCUCUGCCUCCAAAUCAACACCACUCGCCAUCAUCGCCGCAUUAAUAGCCUCAAUUUCCAUCUCAAUAUCGUCAAAAGGCUCAUCAUGUUUCUCCAUCAAUCCUUGCACUGCAAGUAAAUUCUUCUCCUCCUCCAUAGCCUCCACGACCACCUCCGAUCCUUCCGCCUGGGUUUUAGCAAGUUCCAUUUGAAAUUCUGCAGACGGCAAUGUGGCAUCAGCAUCUUCAUUCAUCGUGAUCUCCCCUUCUUCACGUGCCGGAUGUACAUCCUGAUGCUGCCCCUGAUCUUCUCUUCGUUGCAGUGGAUAUGUCUUAGUCGACACCCCUUGAGUACCAGAGCCCACAACUGGAACAGCCUCACGGUAUGUAGAUUUAACCCGUGAACCUUCCCCAUUACCUCUGUAGUUGCCGUGGUGGUUAUAAGAUCUCCUAUUACCCCGCUCAGGUACCUUCACCCACUUAGAAUCAGGUGCCUCCCCCAUCUUUCCCUUGCCCUUUCCAUAAUACUCCUUACAAUCUCUUUCUCUGUUCUGUUGGGCCGUAUUGCCGUUAAUGACCACACCCUUAUAGCUCCGAGCUCGCUCUUCAUGUUUCACGCCAUCAGUCCAUCCCCCAUUACCUUCUCUAUGCUCCCUCCUUCUCUCUGGUUCCGCCUUCGUGUUCUUCUCAUCAAGAGGGCAUAUCUCCUCCUUGUGACAAAGACUCCCGCAUCCCUUGCAAUAACCGAAGAGCUUCUCGUAACGGAGAGAUACCGCCACCUCCUCUUCCUCGUAGAAUUCUCCUCCUUUGAAAUCUAUCGACGUUUCAAAGCAUAGUUCUUUGAAAGCGUCAAUUAUAACUUGAACUCGGUUUUGAACCACAUCUACAUCCACCACUCUCCCCAAAGCACCACCAAUACUCUCCAGAGUAGGAGCGGUCCUAAAUUCAAGGGGAAGACCAAAAACUCUGAUCCAAAACGGGAUCUCCGAAGGGAAAUCCUUGAGUUGCUUUGGUUGCCACUUCGCCAAUGCCAGCAUCCAGUAGUCGAAGUGAUAUGGUUGCUGCCUCAACACAGCGUCAAGCUCCUCUUCCGUCAUGAAGUCAAACUGAAACUUGCCAAAGCCCAAGUCACUACCCGUAACCCUUUCUUCCAAUUUCCAAAUCUUCGGGAGAUUUGUAAACAAAGCCUUCAUCUCUUGUUCCACGGGAUUCAUGCACCGUCCAAUCAGAGUUUUGGAAUAGGUUCUGAUAAGCGCAGAGUUGUCGAAAUGCGCCACUGAAAUCUUCAACCUCUUCCGCUUGCCGUCCCCGUUCCUCUGCUCCUCACCAUUACUCAACAAAUUACUCUGCGCCAUUAAAACACCACAAAGAGAGCCCUUUAGAACUUUACUAUAAUAAGAUGAGAUAAGAAUGAUAUUCCAACGAAAGGUGACUUCCAUCUUAUUAUAUAGUGCCCAAUUUUCCAUAUUCACCAUCCUACAAUAAACUCCCACGAUCUCGUAUCCCUGAAAAUUGAAAUCUGCCAAUCUUACUUUCUCCAAAAACCGUAAACCCCAUAUCCUCCGUAUAUAAUUGAGAUCACUCCCAAUUAAAUAAAAGCAAAAGACUAAAGGAUCGCAAUCCAUUAUACAACCUGUAUUGAUUGAGCAAUCUGUUGUAGUGAUAGCCGAAAUCCGUCGCCCUUCGAUCCCAAUCUUUAUUUUCCUUAAAAUUCCGCCCAUCCCCUUUCUAAUACCAAAAUCGAAUCCCCAUCGGCCCGAGAUGCAGCCCUGAUACGCCGUCGCACAACCCUGAUCUUUCCUGAACGGACCGAUCCAAUCUCCGGUACCAAUCCCCGGUUCCCAUCGUCGCGAAAACAUUGAACCCUAGAUCUCCCGUUUCAUCGCCGUCAGAGCUAGGUUAUCAUUUUCUGUUCCAUUCAAUAUCCAAUUCCGUAAUUUUUAUUCAAGAAAAUUUUAAAGAACAUUAAUAAUGAAUUUAUAGUUAGUUUAAUAAAAAGCUUAUUAUAUAAUUAGAUGGACCAACAUAUUUCUCUAAUGAUUCUAAGAAAAUCAAUUUUAUCUAUGAACCCUAAAAAAAUUGAUUUGGGAAAAAUGAUAAGUUAAGUUGUGUCUGAUCGGGUUUAAUAAGUUGUGUCGGGUUUGUUUAAAACAUAGUUCAUUUUAAUAUAUUACGGAUUAACCUCAUUAACUAAGGUUAAAAUCAAUUAACAUAAACCUGGUGAUGUUAUUGAAAUAUUCUCAUACUUGGGAUGUUUUCUACCAUAUUCUUUGAUACUUGGUGUAGGUGGCAAAUUUGUUACCAAUGAUUAACAAGUUAGCAGUUUUAAUAAUGACAUAGCAAUUUCGACAAUCAUGCACCUUAAAGUGAUUGUAGAAUUAAGUAUUUGGCUAUUUGUUUUGACCUUUUUUGUUGGUUAUUCGGCUUCUUCAGUCUAGUUCACUGACUCAUGUCUCAUGGAAAAUGGAAACAUUUUGCACAUAUUAACAGUUUUCUUGAAACCUUUUUUCUUGAUGAUUUGCUAUCUAAACCUUGGAGGAAAUAAUUGUGCGGCUGUUAGAGAUAUAACAAAUUGGGAAUCAAUGUAAAAAAAAUUUCUCCUUUGUGGAUUAGCAUGUUUCAAAAGUGGUGGGUUGGUUUUAUCCAUUUGCAUAGACUUGCAAGAAAAUAAAAUAAUUGGUUACAUCCUUGAUGAGAUUGGAUAUUGUACUCUCUUUUCUUAUAUUUUUUUUAUUUUUAUUUUUAAGCAAAAGGCUAUACUAAAUUUUAAAAUGUUAUACGCUCGUGUUUAUUUAAAAUUCAUAUAAACCAUGUUGCGGAUAAAUUAACUUAGGAGAGUUAGAGUAGGACGUCGAUGUUUGGUUUCUAGAUUUCCGACUUUCGACUUCCAAAUCAAAAAUAUCUUCUAUCUCUAGAUUAAAAGAAACUUAUAUAUAAAGGAGAGUUACCAUAUCUCAAGAUAUGGUCGAGCUUUCCCCCAAAAUUCGCCAACAAUUAUAAGUCCUCAACUCGGACAGUAGUCCAAGCGGCCUUCACCACCCAUGACGAUAGGCGAUCCAGACCAAUCAGUCAUAUUUUAAAGUGUUUGUUUUGCUUAGUUGUAUUUUCAGGUGAUGUUCAAAUUAAAAUGAUGUAUGUUGUACAACAUUUGCGAUGUGACAAUCAUUGUUUAAUUUAAUUUUUUUUUGAAGACAUAAAUAAUAAUUUAUUAUGUUGAUCUUUGAAUUAAUAUUUAUGUAUUAAUAAAUAUCCGCAAGAUAAUUAUGUCUGCAUGUGCAGAGAAAAUACGUAAUUAUAAGCAUGGUUUGCCUAAUCACUUCAAACUUGAUUAAUAUUUAAUAGAUCAGUUUUCAGUUUAAAAAACUCACUUUUUAAAUUAAAAAUAAAUAAAUUAAGAGAAAGAUAUUAUCGUGAUAGUAGUAGGGAAAUUAGGCUAGAUAGCUAAGAAUAAAGCAUAUUUAAGUAUCUAACUAAAAAAAAGAGUCACCAUUAUUACUAUAUUAUAUACUAUAUUGCCCUUAGUAUCCGGUCAAUAAAAUCUCAAACACUUUCUUCUUUAAAUACCAAUCGCCACCACCGUCAUUUCUUUCUUAAUCACCACUAUCUCUUUUACUGUCGCCACUUCCACUACAAUCACCACAAAUCUGUAAUCUUUGUUUAGUAUUUUAUAUUUUUCUAGGCCACAAUCUUAUCAACCAUCAUCUCUUCCUCCAUAAUCACCACCGCCUCCAUCAACUCUGUUAUUCUCGUAUGUACUGUAAAUUCCAAAUUGUACUAUGCUAUCUCAUUGUUAUUAUUCUAUUUUAAUAAUGCUUCAUAUUAUGUACAAUGCGCAUGUUUUGAUAUUUGGAUUAGGGUCUUUUUUUUCAACAAACCAUCAUUAUAUUAAUAAAACUUAAAGGUCUUACAUCGGCUCAGAGGCCUGACAAGAGAGAGUGAAGAGAGCUGUCUUAGCUAAGGAAUCAGCCUCAACGUUGUCUAAACGAGGUACAAAACGAAAGGAGAUAGAGUCAAGGGAGGUACAUAACAUUCGGAUAUCAUGCAACAAGCCUUGAAGCUCGACACAUUUGCCACCUGAAGUGAGCAGAGUAACGAGGGUCUUUGAGUCCGAGAACAGAGUAAGCCUUCGAACAUCAGACAAAACGGCUGCCAUUAGAGCAGCUUUAACCGCGAGUGUCUCUGCUAUUAGGGCAGAGGAUACAUGACGUCGGUUUGUAGAAUCUUGGGAGGUAAAACCGGAACCCUUAUCUGUGAAUUUCCAUCCCAUGCCCCCAUUACCAGACCUUACAUCCCAAGCUGAAUCCACAAAGCAAGAUAAUCCAGGAGUUACCAAUGAGGUGGAGCAAGACUUACGAGUAGUUGUAGGCCGGUUAGUAGGGGAGCGAGUUUUCUUUUGUGCUUCUUGCCAUGCCCUAGCUUCUUUUAAUGACCUUUGAAUCACCUCCUGUUCUGACAGUACAAGAUCUUCAAACAUGAGUCUGUUGUGGCUGGUCCAUAAGUACCAGAAGAGCCAUGAAUGAAUCGGGUUGGAGACGCCCGUUGGAGGGAGACAUGUUAUUUUUUUGCUAUUUUGUAGAAGCAGAGGAAUCGUGGCAGUGGCAUCUGGAGAUGGCUUUAAAAUCGCUGGGAGUAGGUUCCAGACGCGUACCGCAUACAGGCAUUGCAGGAGGACAUGAAGGACUGUCUCUGGUGCACCGCAUCUCUUGCAUGUUCCCUCCACCAUUAUACCAUGAGCUAGAAGAUUCGCUCCCACAGAGAAUGCAUUGUUUCCAAUUCUCCAGAGUAGAUGUUUAGUCUUAGGAGAGGUGGCAACAUUCCACACACACUGGUUCCAAUUGAAAGUUUGAGUUCGAAGUGGAGAGACGUUAAGCUUCGAGAUCGCAUACCAUGUUUUUGUGGAGUACUCGCCAUUCUUUUCUGGAAGCCAGACUAUGGUAUCUAACAUACCGAGGGAGCUUGGGUUCAGUGUCAGAAUCUCCCGCUCAUGGUGAGGCAAGUGUAAACGGAUAGCUGCAAGAUCCCAUGAGGUGGCGUUCGGUAUGAAGAGGUCUUGGACACAUAGAUCUUUGGAACUGAGAGGUGGGGGACCUAUAGGCCUCGAAGGUUUAUCCAGCGCAAGCCAAGGCAUACUCCAGAUGUUUAUAUCUUUCCCGUUCCCCACCACCCAACCCAUACCUUAUUUUUUAACUUCUCGAGCUGCCAAAAGUCCUCUCCAUCCGUGUGAAGCUGAGCUUGGCGCAGAACACUCCAUAAAGGAGUAUGUGUGACAAUACUUGCCCAAUAAAGUACGAGACAAAAGUGAAGUAGGGUCCUUGAGUAUCCGCCAGGCUAAUUUAGCGAGGAGAGCAUCAUUGAAAAUCUCAAUUUCCCUAAAACCAAGGCCACCUACUGACUUGGGAAGAGUAAGGCGAUCCCAUGAAAUCCAACUCAUCUUUCUAGUGCUCGGUUUGGCAUCCCACCAGAAACAUGUAAAAAAGGAUUGAAUUUGCUUACACAAAGAGAUGGGGAGCUUGAAACAGGACAUGGCAUAUGAGGGCAUUGCAGCCAAGACCGCCUUAAGGAGCACUUGCUUCCCUGCUCCCGAGAGGAAGCUUGCCGUCCAACUGUGUGAUCUCUGUCUUAUCCUAUCCACUAUACUGGCAAAAAUGUCUAGUUUCCGGCGCCUGAAAUGUUCCGGUAGUCCUAAGUAUUUGCCAAUACCACCUUCUUUGUCGAUGUGAAGCUGGAGCUUAACUCGGUUUCGGGUGUCGAAGGGAGUUUUAGAGGAGAAGGUAAUGGUCGACUUAAGGAGAUUUAUCAUCUGACCCGAGGCGUUCCCAUACCGAGUAAGGAUGUUUUGGAGAGUGGCGCAACUCGCUUGGCUUGUUCUACAGAAAAACAUAGUAUCAUCCGCAAACAAAAGGUGAUUUAUUGCCGGGGAGUUGCGUGCUACCUUCAGACCAGGGAGGGAUACUUUCUCUUGAGCUUGCUGGCAUAGUCCGGAGAGGACUUCUGUGCAUAGUAUGAAGAGGUAUGGAGAUAGGGGAUCGCCUUGUCGUAAGCCUCGGGAAGGAGUAACACGACCUCGUGGAGAACCAUUUAUAAGGAAGGAGUAGGAAACAGAGCUGACACAUUCCAUUAUCCAAUCGAUCCAGAUGGAGUCAAAACUGAAACAUCGGAGCACUUCCCGGAGGAAAGCCCACUCGAUCCGAUCAUAAGCUUUGCUCAUGUCGGUUUUGACGGCCAUUGAACAUCGCUUUUUCGACCCUGACGUCCGUAGGUAGUGUAGAAUCUCAUGUGUAAUCAGCACGUUGUCGGAGAUGGCUCUGCCCGCCACGAACGCUGACUGUUGCGGUGAGAUCAGGUGGGAGAGGAUCGAUUUGAGCCGCUUAGUUAGCACCUUGGCGAUGAUCUUAUAAUGAGUGGAUCAUAAUGCUAUCGGCUUGUAGUCUGAUACCUUCCGGGGGGCUUUGAUCUUUGGUAUGAGGCGGACAUGGGUUUUGUUUUGGCGACGGUUGAGGAUACUGGUUUCGAAGAAACUUCUGACAUCCCGAGUAACAUCCUCACCAAUGAUAUCCCAAAACGAGUGAUAAAGUCCUGCUGAGAAACCGUCCGGACCAGGCGCUUUGUCCGCGUUGAUUAAGAAGACAGCCUCUUUGAUUUCCUGGUGGGUCGGUAUAGCAGUAAGCGUUGCAUUCAUCCCCGGGGAGACUAGAGGUUGGAUGACCUCUCUUACCACUUCCACUCCAUCCCGAGAUUGGGAGGUGAAGAUAUCUUGGUAGAAACUUGUAAUGGUGCUAGUGAUAAGAGGUUCCGUGAACACAGCAGCUCCUUCUUCAUUCUCGAUGAUCGAGAAUUUAUUUUGAGCUUUUCGUCCCCGAGUUACCGCAUGGAAAAAGCUCGUGUUUCUGUCGCCAUUCUACAGCCAUUGGAUUCUGCUUCUUUGUCUCCAGUAGCUCUCUUCUUCUUCGUAUGCGUUGUUCAGUUCAGUUGUGAUGGCCAUGAUGAGGGCAUCAUCCGGGGUUGAACUAGAGAGAGCAGUAUCGAGAUCAUUUUGGUCUGAGAUGAUACGCUUUUUGCUGUUUAAACUCUGAGUUUUUGACCACUCAACAAUGCUGGUCCGGACUCUAGAGAUCUUGGAGAUGAUAGAUUCCUCUUGGUUCUUGUCCCAAGAUUGAUCUACAAUCUGCCGGAUCUCUGGAAUUUCCUGAAGCCGUCGAUCAGAACGAAAGACCCUUUCUUCUUAGCAACAUCUUGAUCGAAAAAAGUCACUAAUGGCCUAUGGUCUGAGCCUUCGAAGCAGAGGUAUUCACAGUAGCCAGAUGGGAAUAACUCAGACCAUGCGCAGUUGGCCAUUGCUCUAUCUAGCCGGGAUUGUAUAAAGUGACUAUAACAGACUCCUCGCCAGGAAAGGGCAUUUCAUGUAUGUUGUACAUCCCAAAGGCCCGACUGAGAUACAAAGUUCCGGAAGGAGAGAAAGGAGCCCUCCUAGCGCAAAUGGCCGCCUUCCUUCUCGGAGUUGUCGAGUAAGUCAUUAAAGUCACCAGUGAGAAGCCAAGCCUCGUCACGUUGAGCACUCAGGAUCAUUAGGCGUUCCCAAAAAGCAGUCAUCUCUUCAUGUCUUGGAGCUCCAUAGACGAAAGUAACAAAGAAAGAGUUCUGCUUUGAGGUGAUCUAAGUUUCAAUCAAGUUGGGAGAAGAAUCCAAGAUUUCUAUAUCAACAUCAUCUUUCCAAGACAAGGAGAGUCCUCCACUGAGCCCGACAGGGGGGACAGUGAAGUGAUUAGUAUAAUCAGUGCGUUUGAAAAGAUUGAAAAUAGCUUCAUCUUGUUGUUUUGUCUCCAUGAGAAACACAAUGUCUGGGGAGAGACGUUUUCGAAUUCCCUUGAGACGUCGAACUGUAGGGGUGCUUCCAAUUCCCUGACAGUUCCAGCUCACACAUGCUAAGGAAGAAUGUUUGGUGGAGUCCGAAAAUCCACCACACGCUUGCUUGUUGCCGGUAGAAGCCUAGCUGGGGGAAGGAGCUCCUGAGUGUUGUCUGUAGUUUCAUUUGGAGACAAGGAAGCCGUUGUGCCUGAGCCACCAGAGUGCCUGUUGCGAGGAGAGCUUUGGACUUUUGACACUCUACGUUUCUUGAGGCUCACUCCUUGUAAGUUUGUGCGGUUUACCCUCUUAGUAGAUGUCGGCUUCUUCGUUGCUUCCUUAGAUGGAGCCUUUGGUAUCGCCUGAGCCUUAGAAGAGCUUGGUGGUCUACCUCGUUUCUUUUUCUGAGCAGCCAUAGGGGGAACGUCCUCCACUGGGUCCGAAACCGGGAGGCCUCCCAGGCGAAGGGAGACAUGUAGCCGAUCCUCACUUAGGGUCCUGAUAGGGACGGAGGAGAGAGGCAUGGGGAGAGACAAACGUUCUGAGGCUGGGACUCUAGAGCUUGAGGGCUUGGAGGAGCUAUCAACAGCCUGAUUACGGAAGGUGUCUUCUAGGUAAUGAAUUUCCACUUCCUGUAGUCGAAUGCUCUCAGAGUUGGUGAUGGAAACUCCAUGCUGGAGUAGGUUAUUCCCAGUGGCGGGUAGAGAGAGGCGUUCCAGGGCAUAUUUUCUAGUCUUUGCGGCAGUUGAGUCAUCUCCAUCCGGAGGAGGUGAGUUCAUAAGCUCUCGCGCUGGUCUUGGAGAUGGAGUGUGGGAUGGAGUAUGAGAGACUUGGACACUGUGUGGUCCAGUAUUAACUGAUUGGAAAGCUUUCUCCACCCAGACUCUGGUGCUCUCUUUCUCAGGGCGAGUUUGUCUUCUAGAGCCCUCACUUCCAGUAGGAGGAAUGGGUCUCAAGGAGGCAGAAUGAGUUUGAGAGUUUGAAGGUUGGUGGGUAACAGACUGGUUGCUAUAGCAAGCGGGUUCCUUCACGUAGCUCCUGAAGUCCACACCUCUGGGGGGACGUCGAGUGUCUUCAUACCUUGUGUUAGAGUAAGGUAUGCUGUCAGAGACUCUUCCCCUGUCUCGAGUGUCGGAGGGGUAAGUCGUAGAGAGUUUUUUCUCGUCUUGUCGACGUCUGUCUACUUCAAUGCGGUUCAGCGUCUGAGCUUGAUUAGUUCCCACAGGUUUAGAGAGACGUUCUUUGAGGGUGAGGGAGGAGGGGCAGUCUUUGGUUUCAUGGCAUAGAGACUUGCAGGAGAAGCAAUGCUUGUCUAGGUUUUCAUAUUGCAGCUCCACAGUCUUGAGUUCUCCUGAUGUAAGCUCUAUGUCGAGGUGAAAUUCCAAAGGCCUCAUACCAUUAACCAUCACUCUAACUCGUCCUUUCGAUGCUUCCUUAGCCGCCACAUGACCCAGUUCCGAACCAAUAGCGUGGAGGGAUUCAUUUGUCCAAUAGUGAAGGGGUAAGCCAUGGACUGCAAUCCAGAAAGGUAUGAGGGUAGGGAAACUGUCAGAGACAUUGGGUUCCCACCUUUGUAGGAUGAACAUCCAACGUUUGAAAUGGUACGGUCCUCUGCGGAGGAUGGAUUGGAGAUCAGCCUCCGAUUCGAACCUGAACUGAAAGAGGUUGGGGCCCAGGUCGCGGCCUGUGAAAGUUCCAACAACAGACCAGUGUUGAAGGAAUAAAUCCACAAGAGCUCUUGUUUUUUGGACCGCGGGGUUCGUAACUCUUCCAAUCAAAGUGAGCAUGUUCUCUUCUAUGAGAACACAGGUGUUGGAAGCUGGGAUCUUCACCGGAGCUCUGCGGCCUCUAGAAUUAGGGUUUACAGGCCACUUCUCCUUAUCCGAUCUCGAGUAUCUGUGAGUCAUCACGAAAUGUCGAGGGUGUUGUUGGAAGAAGGAGGGUUCGGAGAAAACUAUCCGACGAAACCUUAAAAACUAGGGUAGAGGGAGAGAAGUAAAAGAAACAACUAGAAAAGACUGCACAAGACAGUAAGAGAUACACGCCGUAACUAAAGAGCUGAAGCGGCCCCGGGAGCCAGGGAAGUUUCAGGCC